GUAGCGUUUAAAAACCGGGUCUGACGGCAAGCCAAAUAUACCAAAUAUGAAAGUCCUUCCAGUUUUCAUUUUACUGGCAGUGCACAUUGCGUUUGCAACCAGUACUUCUGAAGGCAGCUGCCUAUUCAAGACAAAAUGGAGUAAGCACAC
rnacentral:lncRNA from 1 species